UAUCGUUGCUUCGGCGGGAACGCCCCGGCGCCCUGCGCCCGGAUCCAGGCGCCCGCCGGAGACCCCAAACUCUUGUGUUUUUUUCAGUAUUCUCUGAGUGGCAAACGCAAAAAUAAAUCAAAACUUUUAACAACGGAUCUCUUGGCUCUGGCAUCGAUGAAGAACGCAGCGAAAUGCGAUAAGUAAUGUGAAUUGCAGAAUUCAGUGAAUCAUCGAAUCUUUGAACGCACAUUGCGCCCGUUAGCAUUCUAGCGGGCAUGCCUGUCCGAGCGUCAUUUCAACCCUCAGGGUCCCCGUUCCGGCGGGGAACCUGGUGUUGGGGAUCGGCCCGCCCCGCGCGGCGCCGUCCCCCAAAUUCAGUGGCGGUCUCGCUGCAGCCUCCCCUGCGUAGUAGUUACAACCUCGCAUCGGAGCUCAGCGCGGCCACGCCGUAAAACCCCCGACUUUCUGAACGUUGACCUCGGAUCAGGUAGGAAUACCCGCUGAACUUAAGCAUA
rnacentral:rRNA from 1 species